GACGAACGCUGGCGGCGUGCUUAACACAUGCAAGUCGAACGGAAAGGCCUGCUUUCCCUUGUGGAUUGCGGGUACUCGAGUGGCGAACGGGUGAGUAACACGUGAGUGAUCUGCCCCCAACUUGGGUAUAAGCCUGGGAAACUGGGUCUAAUUCCCGAUAGGACUGCAGGGUGGUGCCUGUGGUGGAAAACGAUUUUCUAGUGGUUGGGGAUGAGCUCGCGGCCUAUCAGCUUGUUGGUGGGGUAAUGGCCUACCAAGGCGGCGACGGGUAGCCGGCCUGAGAGGGUGGACGGCCACAUUGGGACUGAGAUACGGCUCAGACUCCUACGGGAGGCAGCAGUGGGGAAUAUUGCACAAUGGGCGGAAGCCUGAUGCAGCGACGCCGCGUGGGGGAUGACGGCCUUCGGGUUGUAAACUCCUUUCGACCGCGAGGAAGCCACCUGGUUGGAAGGGUGGUGACGGUAGUGGUAGAAGAAGCACCGGCUAACUACGUG
rnacentral:rRNA from 1 species